rnacentral:misc_RNA from 1 species
UCAAACUUGGUCAUUUAGAGGAAGUAAAAGUCGUAACAAGGUCUCCGUAGGUGAACCUGCGGAGGGAUCAUUACUGAGUGAGGGCCCCCGGCCCGACCUCCAACCCUUUGUGAUUAAUACUUGUUGCCUCGGGGGCGACUCGACUUCGUCGGGGCCCCCGAUGGAGCAUAACCAAACUCUGCAUCUUUGCGUCAGGUUUGAUAAAGAAAAUUGUUUAAAACUUUCAACAACGGAUCUCUUGGUUCUGGCAUCGAUGAAGAACGCAGC